CCUACGGGCGGCAGCAGUGGGGAAUAUUGGUCAAUGGACGAGAGUCUGAACCAGCCACGUCGCGUGAAGGAUGACUGCCCUAUGGGUUGUAAACUUCGUUUAUAUGGGAAUAAAAUGUUCCACGUGUGGGAUUUUGUAUGUACCAUAUGAAUAAGGAUCGGCUAACUCCGUGCCAGCAGCCGCGGUAAUACGGAGGAUCCGAGCGUUAUCCGGAUUUAUUGGGUUUAAAGGGAGCGUAGGUGGAUUGGUAAGUCAGGUGGGAAAGGUUGGGGCUCAACCGUAAAAUUGCAGUUGAAACUGGCAGGCUUGAGUACAGGAGAGGUGGGUGGAAUUCCUGGUGUAGCGGUGAAAUGCGUAGAUAUCACGAAGAACUCCGAUUGCGAAGGCAGCUCACUGGACUGCAACUGACACUGAGGCUCGAAAGUGUGGGUAUCAAACAGGAUUAGAUACCCCAGUAGUC
rnacentral:rRNA from 1 species